rnacentral:lncRNA from 1 species
GCAUUUUUAUAUAAUAAUUUAUAUGAAUACUUGUUUAAUUUUCCUUUAUUGGGUAACACAUUUUUCAGAUGUCUUCAAAACCGGAAGAUGGAUUGAUAUUGGUUCUUUUCGUCAGUCACAAUCUCCAUCCAUGCAGCUCCUUGUAGACCAGAUACCUUCCUUUUGUUUGUCAUCUAGAGCAGCUAACACUCAACGACAGUAUAGAUAUGUUUUCAACGCUUUUUGUAAGUGGUGUUUAUCUAUUAAUAUUUUCAAACACGUUACCUGCUUCAGUUAUUUCUGUCGCAUCGUAUUUAGUUUAUUUGACUAACAUAUUGGUAAAUCUACUAGCAGCAUAAAUGAAGCUUUUUAUGCUAUAAGUUGGGCUCAUAGAUUAGCCGGAGUUGAAAAUCCGUGUAAAUCGGAUUUGGUUAUUUCUGUGAAGGAAGGAUCUUUGAGAUCUGUUGGACACAUUGUGGUUAAGAAAGAACCUAUAACACCAGAAAUUUUGUAUCAAAUUGUUAUGCUUUAUGGUAACGAUAAAUCUAAUCUUAAAGAUGUUAGAAUAGCAUGUAUGUGCCUUAUAAGUUUUGCUGGAUUUUUGAGGUAUUCAGAAUUAGCAAAUCUGACAAGAAAUAAUAUUGUUUUUCAUGAUUCGUACAUCGUUUUACUGAUAGAGAGUAGUAAAACUGAUAUUUACCGUGAGGGUAGAGAUGUACUCAUUUCAAAAACGGACAAAAUUACAUGUCCCGUUAAAAUGUUGAUGAAAUAUUUAGAUUUAGCAAACAUCAAGUCGGACAGUAAUGAUUUGAUUUUUCGUCCUUUAUCUUUUUGUAAAUCUGUAAAUGGUUACAAAUUAAGAAAUGGGAAGCUUUCUUAUACUACUACUGCAAGAGAAUUCUGUUAUCUACUUUAACAUCUAUUGGAUUAGACAAAAAGUAUUUUGGUUUGCAUAGUUUGAGGUCCGGAGGCGCCACUGCUGCUGCUGCAAACGCGCAUGUGGAAGAUCGAAUCUUCAAAAAACAUGGUCGCUGGAAAUCAGACCGGGCUAAGGACGGAUAUGUCAAAGAGAACAUCAGUGAACGUCUAACAGUAACUAAAAAUUUAGGAAUUUAAAAAACACACAUUUGCGCCUUUCUUUGUUUUGUCGAAAAUAGCUGCACAUGCUGGCGAGCUAUUCCUAUGUAACAAGUGUUUGUUUUUAUUUUAUAAAUACUUUAUAUGCGUUUGAGGUGACGAAUUAGAAUAUAAUGUAUUUAUUAAAGUUGAGCAUACACGUGUUUUCUAUUAUGUAAACAAUCACACGUGAUUGUGUGUCCGCAUAGUGGUCAUCUAUUGGUGUUUAUAUUGGAUAAACAGGUUUGUGUUUUAAAUAUAUGAUAUUUCGGAUUGGUCAAUAUUUGUCGCAUUGCGUAAAUAUAUUGAGUAUGAUAUUUGUUAUGUAAAUAGCACGGGAUUUUUAAAGCGCGAAAUAGUUGUCUUGUUUAAGUAAUUUAAGAUAUAUGGUCAUUCGAAGCUCGUAUACCGUUCAGUAAGGCAGCUUAGUUUAGGUAAAGACCCCCCCACCCCCACCCGGAUUAAGAUGCUUGUAUAUUUGAAAUGUUUUCACGCAUAGAUAGAUAGAUAUAUUUCUACUAGGACAUUGUUUGUUUGAUUAUUAAGAUUUAUAUGUAUAUAAGAUUUCUGAUUUUGUUUUUCUAUUUUGUAGGCUGUCGUGUACUACGCAGC